UACGUAGGGCGCAAGCGUUAUCCGGAAUUAUUGGGCGUAAAGAGCUCGUAGGCGGUUUGUCGCGUCUGCUGCGAAAGACCGGGGCUCAACUCCGGUUCUGCAGUGGGUACGGGCAGACUAGAGUGAUGUAGGGGAGACUGGAAUUCCUGGUGUAGCGGUGAAAUGCGCAGAUAUCAGGAGGAACACCGAUGGCGAAGGCAGGUCUCUGGGCAUUAACUGACGCUGAGGAGCGAAAGCAUGGGGAGCGAACAGG
rnacentral:rRNA from 1 species